rnacentral:rRNA from 1 species
CCUACGGGAGGCAGCAGUCGAGAAUCAUUCACAAUGGGGGAAACCCUGAUGGUGCGACGCCGCGUGGGUGAAUGAAGGUCUUCGGAUUGUAAACCCCUGUCAUGUGGGAGCAAAUUAAAAAGAUAGUACCACAAGAGGAAGAGACGGCUAACUCUGUGCCAGCAGCCGCGGUAAUACAGAGGUCUCAAGCGUUGUUCGGAAUCACUGGGCGUAAAGCGUGCGUAGGCGGUUUCGUAAGUCGUGUGUGAAAGGCGCGGGCUCAACCCGCGGACGGCACAUGAUACUGCGAGACUAGAGUAAUGGAGGGGGAACCGGAAUUCUCGGUGUAGCAGUGAAAUGCGUAGAUAUCGAGAGGAACACCAGUGGCGAAGGCGGCCUACUGGGCUUUAACUGACGCUGAGGCACGAAAGCAUGGGUAGCAAACAGGAUUAGAUACCCCAGUAGUC